GAUGAACGCUGGCGGCGUGCUUAACACAUGCAAGUCGAACGGAAAGGCCCAAGCUUGCUUGGGUACUCGAGUGGCGAACGGGUGAGUAACACGUGGGUGAUCUGCCCUGCACUUCGGGAUAAGUCUGGGAAACUGGGUCUAAUACCGGAUAGGACCACUUCUUGGAUGUUGUGGUGGAAAGUUUUUUCGGUGUGGGAUGAGCUCGCGGCCUAUCAGCUUGUUGGUGGGGUAAUGGCCUACCAAGGCGUCGACGGGUAGCCGGCCUGAGAGGGUGUACGGCGACAUUGGGACUGAGAUACGGCCCAGACGCCUACGGGAGGCAGCAGUGGGGAAUAUUGCACAAUGGGCGCAAGCCGGAUGCAGCGACGCCGCGUGGGGGAUGACGGCCUUCGGGUUGUAAACUCCUUUCGCUAGGGACGAAGCGUUUUGUGACGGUACCUGGAGAAGAAGCACCGGCUAACUACGUG
rnacentral:rRNA from 1 species